ensembl:lncRNA
GUUGCGUCCCAUUUCACAAAAAAGCAGACCCCCAGAAAUCCCUGUUAUGUCACGUCCAUCAGGGGUUGUCAGUCCUUCACUUUUUCUCACCUCUCUCUUCCUCCCCGCUUUCUCUAUCGCUCAGUCAGUAGUUUUGCUUGGCCUGCUUUUUUGGGUGACCCUUAAGAUGACGUGUAGUAUUGACAUUUCCUCAUACAGUAUAGUAGAAUCACAUAAUGUAGAAAGAUGUCUAGUGACCAUCCCUCAUAAAACUACAUUUACAGCAGAAUGAAUUAGGUCUCAUAAAACUACAUUUACAGCAGAAUGAAUUAGGUCUCAUAAAACUACAUUUACAGCAGAAUGAAUUAGGUCUCAUAAAACUACAUUUACAGCAGAAUGAAUUAGGUCUCAUAAAACUACAUUUACAGCAGAAUGAAUUAGGUCUCAUAAAACUACAUUUACAGUAGAAUGAAUUAGGUCUCAUAAAACUACAUUUACAGCAGAAUUAAUUUGGUCUCAUAAAACUACAUUUACAGCAGAAUGAAUU